AUUGAACGCUGGCGGCAGGCCUAACACAUGCAAGUCGAACGAGUGGCGGACGGGUGAGUAAUGUCUGGGAAACUGCCUGAUGGAGGGGGAUAAAUACUGGAAACGGUAGCUAAUACCGUAUACCAUCGGAAGUGCCCAGAGGGGAUUAGCUAGUAGGUGGGGUAACGGCUCACCUAGGCGACGAGCGCUAGCUGGUCUGAGAGGAUGACCAGCCACACUGGAACUGAGACACGGUCCAUACUCCUACGGGAGGCAGCAGUGGGGACUAUUGCACAAUGGGAGCAAGCCUGAUGCAGCCAUGCCGCGUGUAUGAAGAAGGCCUUCGGGUUGUAAAGGACUUUCAGCGGGGAGGCGUUACCCGCAGAAGAAGCACCGGCUAACUCCGUGCCAGCAGCCGCGGUAAUUC
rnacentral:rRNA from 1 species